rnacentral:rRNA from 1 species
ACGCUCGACACCUACUGGAGGCAGCAGUGGGGAAUAUUGCACAAUGGGGGAAACCCUGAUGCAGCGACGCCGCGUGGGCGAAGAAGUAUUUCGGUAUGUAAAGCUCUAUCAGCAGGGAAGAAACUGACGGUACCUGACUAAGAAGCACCGGCUAAAUACGUGCCAGCAGCCACGGUAAUCUGAGCGGGCUGGCAAGGC